GAUGAUUUUUAAAAUAACUUUUGUAAUUGUAAUUAUCGUUUCAUUUGUUUAACAGUCUUUAAUUUAUUUACUCUGACAAUCUUUAUCAACUGAGUACUAAUUAUUUAGCAUUGUGCAAUAGGUAUUUUUAUAAAUAAAUCGCAACAACUGCUCAAAUGCUCACUUGCUCUCAAAGGUUUUAAAUAAAUUGCAGGGUUCGAGAAAAUGAAAAUUCUACUAGUGAUCAUGAGUGUUUUUCUGCUAAUAGUAGGAAUACAAGCCGUUGACUCAAACAACAGAAGAGUAGUAAGGAUGAUCUCGAAGAACCGCGACAAGAGAGGUGCGAGUUGUACUGGACUAUGCAGACUUAUAUUAGAACGAGUAGAAUACGAGAAAGAAAUAGAUUACAACGAUUACAAUGAAUAUUAAUCACCGGUUUAUUAUUAAAUGUUAAUAAGCGCAUUUGCAUUUAGGCACUGAAUUCAAGAUAAUAUGCAUGUCAAUCUUAUACUUAAACUCACAGAAUGACUUGCAGAAUUGUGAUUGAUGGAUUGCAAUGCUGCUCCGCUCGCGGAUUUGUGGGCGAGCUCGAGCGAUAAAAAAGGAGAAACGAUUUCCAGUGUGAGGAAGGAAAAUUGAAUUUUCGCGAAUUUCCACACGGCACACGGGGAAUUUUCACUGGCGAACAUUAUGUGGGUCAGUCGAGUGAAUUUCAAAUAUGAGGAAAUUGCGUGGAAAUGAUUGAAGUUCCUCUGCCCAACAUCGAUAUAUAGUCAAUGGCUGGUCUAUUGGGAGAGGAUUAUGGUGAAAUAUUAAAUUCUAUAUAAGUCUGCCGCCA